AGCAGCCGCGGUAAUUCCAGCUCCAAUAGCGUAUAUUAAAGUUGUUGCAGUUAAAAAGCUCGUAGUUGAAUUUCGGGAUUCUACCGUCGGUCGGGCUACCAAGUCUGUACUGGUGUGUAGAAUUCCUACCUUCUGGGGAACCAUCAUGUUAUUAAUUUAGCGUGGUGGGAAACCAGGACCUUUACCUUGAAAAAAUUAGAGUGUUCAAAGCAGGCUUAUGUCUGAAUACAUUAGCAUGGAAUAAUAGAAUAGGACGGUGGUCCUGUUUUGUUGGUUUCUGAAUCACCGUAAUGAUUAAUAGGGAUAGUU
rnacentral:rRNA from 1 species